rnacentral:misc_RNA from 1 species
GCGUGGGGCUCCGGCCCUGUCGUGAUAGAACCCUUGCCUUUUGAGUACCGUCCGUUUCCUCGGCAGGCUCGCCUGCCAAUGGGGACCCCCAAUAAACGCUUUUUAUGUACCUGUAUCAGUCUGACAAACAAACAAAGUUA